rnacentral:rRNA from 1 species
AUUGAACGCUGGCGGCAGGCCUAACACAUGCAAGUCGAACGAGUGGCGGACGGGUGAGUAAUGUCUGGGACACCGCCUGAUGGAGGGGGAUAACUACUGGAAACGGUAGCUAAUACCGCAUACCAUCGGAUGUGCCCAGAUGGGAGUCGCUAGUAGGUGGGGUAACGGCUCACCUCGGCGACGAUCCCUAGCUGGUCUGAGAGGAUGACCAGCCACACUGGAACUGGGACAAGGGCCAGACUCCGACGUGAGGCAGCAGUGGGGAAUAUUGCACAAGGGGCGCAAGCCUGAUGCAGCCAUGCCGCGUGUAUGAAGAAGGCCUUCGGGUUGUAAAGUACUUUCAGCGGGGAGGCGUUACCCGCAGAAGAAGCACCGGCUAACUCCGUGCCAGCAGCCGCGGUAAUUC